AGAUUUGAUCCUGGCUCAGUGACUGGGGUGAAGUCGUAACAAGGUAACCGUAAGUCGUAACAUGGUUACCGUAGAGUUUGAUCAUGGCUCAGCCUUUGACUUAAAAAAUGGAGAAGUCGUAACAAGGUAACCGUAAGUCGUAACAAGGUAACCAUAGAGUUUGAUCCUGGCUCAGUAACUGGGGUGAAGUCGUAACAAGGUAACCGUAGAGUUUGAUCAUGGCUCAGGAAAGUCGUAACAAGGUAACCGUAAGUCGUAACAAGGUAACCGUAGAGUUUGAUCCUGGCUCAGCCUUGACUUAAAAAAAUGGAGAAGUCGACAAGGUAACGUAAGUCGUAAA
rnacentral:rRNA from 1 species